rnacentral:rRNA from 1 species
AUACGGAGGGGGCUAACGUUGUUGGGAAUUACUGGGCGUAAAGCGCGCGUAGGCGGAUCGUUAAGUCAGGGGUGAAAGCCCGGAGCUCAACUCCGGAACUGCCCUUGAUACUGGCGAUCUCGAGUCCGGGAGAGGUGAGCGGAAUUCCUAGUGUAGAGGUGAAAUUCGUAGAUAUUAGGAGGAACACCAGUGGCGAAGGCGGCUCACUGGCCCGGUACUGACGCUGAGGUGCGAAAGCGCGGGGAGCAAACAGGAUUAGAAACCCUAGUAGUCC